rfam:Gossypium arboreum cultivar AKA8401 contig_40300_1, whole genome shotgun sequence.
AACCCAUGAUAAGGAAACCUUCUCAAAAUAUCCUUAAAUCUUUCUCAUGUAUCAUAUAAUUUCUCAAAAUAAAUUUAAGAAAAAGAAGAGAUGUCGUUCCUCAACUU